UGUGAGUGUGAGGUAGGCGGAAUGCGUUGUGUAGCGGUGAAAUGCAUAGAUAUGACGCAGAACUCCGAUUGCGAAGGCAGCUUACCAACACUUUACGGACGCUGAGGCACGAAAGCGUGGGUAUCGAACAGGAUUAGAUACCCUGGUAGUCCACGCAGUAAACGAUGAAUACUAAUUGUUCGGGGGGCAACCCCUGAGUGAUACAGCGAAAGCGUUAAGUAUUCCACCUGGGGAGUACGCCGGCAACGGUGAAACUCAAAGGAAUUGACGGGGGCCCGCACAAGCGGAGGAACAUGUGGUUUAAUUCGAUGAUACGCGAGGAACCUUACCCGGGCUCAAACGUUGGGGGAAUGCUCCUGAAAGGGAGCAGCCAGCAAUGGUCGCCAACGAGGUGCUGCAUGGUUGUCGUCAGCUCGUGCCGUGAGGUGUCGGCUUAAGUGCCAUAACGAGCGCAACCCCUGCGUCCAGUUACCAUCAAGUCAUGUUGGGGACUCUGGACGGACUGCCGGCGCAAGCCGUGAGGAAGGCGGGGAUGACGUCAAAUCAGCACGGCCCUUACGUCCGGGGCGACACACGUGUUACAAUGGCGUGGAACAGCGGGAAGCCACCUGGCGACAGGGAGCGGACCCCUAAAACACGUCUCAGUUCGGAUUGGAGUCUGCAACUCGACUCCAUGAAGCUGGAUUCGCUAGUAAUCGCGCAUCAGCCAUGGCGCGGUGAAUACGUUCNNNNNNCUUGUACACACCGCCCGUCAAGCCAUGGGAGCCGGGNNNNNNNGAAGUACGUAGCCGGAAGGAGCGUCCAAGGGUAACACUGGUGACUGGGGAUAGAGUCGUAACAAGGUAACCA
rnacentral:rRNA from 1 species